GGGCCCGCACAAGCGGUGGAGCAUGUGGUUUAAUUCGAUGAUACGCGAGGAACCUUACCAGGGCUUAAAUGUAAGUUGCAUGGAUCAGAGAUGGUCCUUUCUUCGGACUACUUACAAGGUGCUGCAUGGUUGUCGUCAGCUCGUGCCGUGAGGUGUCAGGUUAAGUCCUAUAACGAGCGCAACCCCUGUCGUUAGUUGCCAUCAAGUAAAGUUGGGUACUCUAGCGAGACUGCCGGUGCAAACCGUGAGGAAGGUGGGGAUGACGUCAAAUCAUCACGGCCCUUACGUCCUGGGCUACACACGUGCUACAAUGGCCGGUACAGAGAGCAGCCACCACGCGAGUGGGAGCGAAUCUAUAAAACCGGUCUCAGUUCGGAUCGCAGUCUGCAACUCGACUGCGUGAAGCUGGAAUCGCUAGUAAUCGG
rnacentral:rRNA from 1 species